CGUAACACGUGAGGAACAUGUCCUUCGGCGGGGAAUAGCCGGCCUAACGGCCGGGUAAUACCGCGUACGACGGCUGGGGCGCAUGCCCUGGCCGUGAAAGCGGCAAUGCGCCGAUGGAGUGCCUCGCGGCCUAUCAGCUUGUUGGUGGGGUAACGGCCCACCAAGGCAUCGACGGGUAGCUGGUCUGAGAGGACGAUCAGCCACACUGGGACUGAGACACGGCCCAG
rnacentral:rRNA from 1 species